UGGGGAAUUUUGGACAAUGGGCGAAAGCCUGAUCCAGCCAUGCCGCGUGAGUGAAGAAGGCCUUCGGGUUGUAAAGCUCUUUUAGUCGGAAAGAAAGAGUUGCAAUGAAUAAUUGUGAUUUAUGACGGUACCGACAGAAAAAGCACCGGCUAACUACGUGCCAGCAGCCGCGGUAAUACGUAGGGUGCGAGCGUUAAUCGGAAUUACUGGGCGUAAAGGGUGCGCAGGCGGUCUUGCAAGUCAGAUGUGAAAGACCCGGGCUUAACCUGGGAAUUGCGUUUGAAACUACAAGACUAGAGUGCAGCAGAGGGGAGUGGAAUUCCAUGUGUAGCAGUGAAAUGCGUAGAGAUGUGGAAGAACACCGAUGGCGAAGGCAGCUCCCUGGGUUGACACUGACGCUCAUGCACGAAAGCGUGGGGAGCAAACA
rnacentral:rRNA from 1 species